rnacentral:rRNA from 1 species
AUUGAACGCUGGCGGCAUGCCUUACACAUGCAAGUCGAACGGUAACGCGGGGCAACCUGGCGACGAGUGGCGAACGGGUGAGUAAUGUAUCGGAAAGUGCCCAGUUGUGGGGGAUAACUGCUCGAAAGAGCAGCUAAUACCGCAUACGACCUGAGGGUGAAAGCGGAGGAUCGCAAGACCUCGCGCAAUUGGAGAGGCCGAUAGCAGAUUAGGUAGUUGGUGGGGUAAAGGCCCACCAAGACAACGAUCUGUAGCUGGUCUGAGAGGACGACCAGCCACACUAGGAGUGAGACACGGCCCAGAUUCCAACGGGAGACAGCAGUGAGGAAUUUUGGACAAUGGACGCAAGUCGGAUCCAUCCAUGCCGCGUGCGGGAAGAAUGCCAUCGGGUUGUCAACCGCUUUUGUCAAGGAAAAAACGCUCUGGGUUAAUACCUCUGGGUAAUGACGGUACCUGAAGAAUAAGCACCGGCUAACUACGGGCCAGCAGCCGCCGCUGUAA